AUGAUCGUCUUAGCCUGGAACUGUCGAGGACUGGGGUUGGACUCGACAGUGGGCGAACUCCGCGACCUGAUUAGGUCCCACAACCCAGCGGUGGUUUUCUUGAGUGAAACGAAGAAGAAGGCAAGAGCUAUGGAAAAACUGAAAUGGAGUUUGGGCUUUAGAUGUGGAGUGGCGGUUGACUGUCGGGGGAAGAGCGGGGGCUUGGCUAUGUGGUGGAGAGAUCAUCUCCAA
rnacentral:rRNA from 1 species